rnacentral:rRNA from 1 species
UACAGAGGUCGAAAGCGUUGUUCGGAUUUACUGGGCGUAAAGGGUGCGUAGGCGGUUGGGUAAGUCUGACGUGAAAUCUCCGGGCCUAACCCGGAAACUGCGUUGGAUACUAUUUGACUAGAGGAAUGGAGGGGAGACUGGAAUACUUGGUGUAGCAGUGAAAUGCGUAGAUAUCAAGGGGAACAACAGUGGCGAAGGCGAGUCUCUGGACAUUUCCUGACGCUGAGGCACGAAAGCCAGGGGAGCAAACGGG